rnacentral:rRNA from 1 species
UACAGAGGCCUCAAGCGUUGUUCGGAUUCAUUGGGCGUAAAGGGUGUGUAGGCGGCGCGCUAAGUCGGGUGUGAAAUUUCGGAGCUUAACUCCGAAACUGCAUUCGAUACUGGCGUGCUUGAGGACUGGAGAGGAGACUGGAAUUCACGGUGUAGCAGUGAAAUGCGUAGAUAUCGUGAGGAAGACCAGUGGCGAAGGCGGCUCACUGGCCCGAUACUGACGCUGAGGCACGAAAGCGUGGGGAGCAAACAGG